rnacentral:rRNA from 1 species
CCCUUAGAUGUUCUGGGCCGCACGCGCGCUACACUGAUGCAUUCAACAAGCCUAGCCUUGACCGAGAGGUCCGGGUAAUCUUUGAAACUGCAUCGUGAUGGGGCUAGAUUAUUGCAAUUAUUAAUCUUCAACGAGGAAUACCUAGUAAGUGCGAGUCAUCAGCUUGCGCUGACUACGUCCCUGCCCCUUGUACACACCGCCCGUCGCUGCCCGGAACUGAGCCGUUUCGAGAAAGCCGGGGACUGACGGCUUGUGGGUGCGCAAGUACUUCUUGCCGACGGAAACCAGUUUAAUCGGUAUGGCUUGAACCGGGCAAAAGUCGUAACA